rnacentral:rRNA from 1 species
GGGUCAUUAGGUUGGUCGUGCCACCGGUACGUACUGGUCUCACUGGUUCCUCCUUCCUGAAGAACCGUAAUGCCAUUAAUUUGGUGUUGCGGGGAAACAGGACUGUUACUUUGAAAAAAUUAGAGUGUUUAAAGCAAGCUAACGCUUGAAUACAUUAGCAUGGAAUAAUGAAAUAGGACGAUCGAUCCUAUUUUGUUGGUUUCUAGGAUUGACGUA